rnacentral:lncRNA from 1 species
UUGGUAUCUGAAUCUACAACGAGGUAUGUAAAGCAUACUCUAACAAUGUUCUUUGGCAUGAAAACACCAAUGUUCCAUCAAGUAAGAUUCCGAGGUUGUCCAAAAACAUGUAUUGUUCUACGUUACCAACGAAGUUGUUUCCAUUCUAUAAAGUGUCAAAAUGUUUCAUUGAUAUACCAAAAGGCUCUUAUUUCAUUGUUGUGAUAUUGAUGAUUCUGAAACACAUUGUUGAUGUACCAAUGAGUCUUUAUUACAUCGUUAUUGUAUAGAAGGUCUAUUACUUGGUUCCUAUUGAUGUAUCAUUGUUUCAAAGUAUUAAAAAUGUGGAGGCGACCGAAAUAACAAUCUCAAAGAUUAAUUGAACUAAGUGAUGGGAGUUCUCUCUUAUCGGGUGGUAUCCCAGGGGCAUAAGCCUAGCAUGGGUCGAUCCCUAUUUCAUGUGUUUAUGGGUGGUAUCCCAGGGGCAUAAGCCUAGCAUGGGUCGAUCCCAGUUGAUAUGUACUGGAGGCAUCCUAAUGGUCACAGUACAGUACAGUAAUGAUUACAAAGACGAUAAGAACGAAGGUAAAGUGAUUGAAUAAAUACAAUGUACAGGUUGUCACAAGUUCUAGUAAGUGUGGUCCACUCCUAUUACGACUUAUUCACUUGUUUCUGAUUUCUAUUGAGCUCCUAUAUCAUAUGUGAUUAUUUACAGCUUUACAUACUCAGUACAUAUUUCGUACUGACGUCCCUCACGGGGGACCUGCAUUUCAUGCUGCAGGCACAGGUACCUCAGCUCAUACACCGCACAAGUAGGAGCCAGGUCAUACAGCUAUUGUUGGUGAGCUCCAGUUUGCUUCGGAGCUUUCCGAGUCGGUUCCUUAUGUUUUGUUAUUGUACAUGAGUCACGUGUGGGCGGGGGUUUGUCCCGACCCUAGUUAUGUCAUGUAUAUCCUAGAGGCUUUGUAGACAUAAGGAAGGGUAAAGUCAUGGAAGUUUAUAUAGUAACGUUAUAUUUGUAUAUGUGGUGGCCCCGACGGCCAAGUAUUAUAUAUAUAUAUUUGUGCGUGUUGUGCUGAUACAGGUAAUUAGACCUUUCUAUAUGCAACGAAGUGCUGUCCAAUUUUUUUGGUGACAUGUAAGUGAAAGUACAGGUAUUUGAACGGGUUCUCCCGGGCCUUCUCGGCUUCGGGUGCCAGUCCGGCCCGAUGGGAUUUUGGGGCGUGACACCAACAAAGCAGGAGUUUGGGAUAAUUUCUUUUAUUACUCUAGGUCUUAUUGAUAUAACAACAUACCCAAUGGUGGAGUUAAUAAAUAAAGAAUUGGCUGGAGUAACUGCCAUAAGAAGAGCAGUUAGGCAAGGUCAGCCUAAUGUUGAAGCUCUUUAUGACCAACCUACUAUAAUAGAUACGGGUGCUUUUUCUGAGGGUAUUGCUGGUGGAGUUAUUGAUGAUGGUGGUAGCCAUCCUACUGUUGCUGCUGCCAAUCAUGAUUAUGAGCAUGUUUGGUGCUUAGGAAAAAAUAAAUACGUUUGAAAACACCCCUUGCAAAGGUCCCUCUUACCCUUAUUGAAAAACUAGAGGUUAUUGCUAAAGUUGUCGAGGAGUUGAAAUCCAAAAAGGGUGUCAUACCGUCCAAGAAGGUGAGGGAGCCAUACACUCUUAAAGUGGUGGUUAGGAGGAAGAAAAGAAACAUUAGCCAAAUACUCUCUAUUCUGAAAACAGAAAAAAUUAUCACUCCUCCUGCUCCAAGAGUUGUUGAAGUUCAGGGCCUACUGAAAAAGGUGGACAUAUACGCGAUACUUGGCGAUGAAGAGAAGAAGGAACUGGAAAAAAUCAUGACUGACGAGAUGAAAUCUCCACAAGAAUACACCAUUCAUUUAUUUGCCGCCUAAGACUUCAUGAGUAUGUCAAAUAUGCAUGAGUAGUACGUGGAUAAUGUAAGUUUACUUUUGCUAACCUAGCCUUCCAAUCUACUCCAUGAAGAAGAAGCUAAGCAAUAGAUGUGUAAUCUGUUGCAACAGUUGGGUAUUCUAUUGCUACAUAAUAUAAAUUUGUUGCAUAAGUUGCGUUAGCUGGGUAAUCUGUGAACUGAUUCAGAGAACCCUUUGCAACAGAAUCUUUCCACUGUGUUUUUUCUUUACAAUUACUAAUCUAUUUAAAAAUUAUUUUCUUAUACCGCGGUAUGUUGAUGAAAUUCUCUGUCUCAUGAGGGGCAAGCAAUUAGCGUACCCGAAUGCUUAUGAUGCUGUUGAUAGGAUAAUGGACCUCAACUUCUACAAUAAUUUCAAGAGUAGGUACGAUACUCUCCAUAGGCAAACUUCUCCUGCUGGCCGGGGAUUCGAUUAGUUAGUUUCUACGUUCAAAUAGAAUGAAGAUAUGAUUAACUAUGUUAGAGGGAAGAGGCUAAUCCGCACGGCAAAAGCUAGACCAAGGCAAAGAUUAAAGUUUAUGACUGUAACUUACCUGUCUUCAAGGAGGACACACUUUAAUCCAUAUACAACCACUCUUGAAGUUAUUCCCCAAGUUGUUGACGCAGAGUAAGUUGAUGGAUCAUUUACCGGCGGAAGUUUUGAAGAAGAAAUCAUAGGAUUUUUUAGGUCGAAAUAAGAACAUCCACCUUCAAAAAAAUAAAAUUGGUGUCGUUUGCGGGUCGUACUUACUUGUAUUCAUCGAGUGUUUGCUGACCGGCACAAAAUGGUCGGUAUAUGCGACGCCACUAUGGAAAAAAUGCAAGAGGUCUGGCUUAUGGGGUACUAACUAAAUGGUUGGAGCUUGUGUAUAAAGAAGAAUAUGUGCAAAGAUAGAUACGAACACGAUAAUAAUUUUUUAUUUCAUGCCACUUUGUUCACUGUAUAUUGUAGUGGUAAUUUUUUAUGUCUGACGAACGUUGAAUUUUCAUAAUACAACAUAUUGUCUAUUUAUUGUAACAGAUAUCAUACCUGUUGUGACAGAUUGAUUAUCUGUUGCAAUAGGUUGGUCAUCUGUUGCAUUAUACAAAUGUUUCUGUCUAUCUGUCGUAACAGAUAUACAAUCUGUUACAACCUAUAGUCUAUCUGUUGCAACUGAUCGGUAAUCUAUUGAAACAAAUAAAAAAUGUUGGAAGACCUGUUAUCUAAUUUCCAGCAGAUGACCUACAUGUUGCAACAUAUGUCUAAAUCUAUUUGAUAAGAUAUGUCGUCUGUUGUAGCAGAUGUAUUAUCUAAUGCGAUGUUUGAAUAUAGUAUUCCAUUUCAAUUAACAAGUUCAAAACUAAAGAUUAAAUUAUAUUCAUAGACAACAUAAAAUAAAUCUAAGCCUUCGACAGUUACAUGAAAUAACUCAAUAGAUAAUUGAAAUGUAAAAAAAUUAUUAUGGGUACAAAUGAUCUACUCUACAAAUAAAUCAAUAAGUUAAUCAAGGAGGAUAGGUUAUUACACUGACAGACUCAAGAUACAAAGAUCUACUCAAUAUGGACAAGUUGUUAUACAUCGGGUGCUACGGAAUUUGGUUUUGGUCGUCGUGGAUCAUUAAUGUCGCUUGCGUACGAUUUCUGAGUUUUCGCUUCUCCGUAUUUCAAUAAAAGAGCAACAUAUCCUUUGUGGAAUAAUCCGACAUCAUGUCCAUCAUUUGGUACUUGUAAUUUAUCGUUCAAAUACUCGGCGUAAGCGACAACAAAAAGACUGCAUUCACUGCAUUUUAAAAAAAUAGAUAAUUCAUAUCUUGUAUUUCAUGUAAGCGUUAUGAAAUUUAUGAAAUGAAACUAAAUCAUGAUACUUACACUUACAGGCUACCAAUGAUUUUUUGAGCAAUUCCUUCAAUAUAUUAUACAUCAAAUGGACUACCCAUUUUAUCCCGGUAUGCUUCAAUCAUCGACCAAUCAGUAUGAACCUUUUGGUCCAAAAAGCCACUCAUAUCAAGGUAAGUAGGUAAUAUUUUGGUCAUCUUUUGUAUCUCACACGUUGGCCUAGAACUUCUUCUUCGCGACAUCGAGUCAUAAACUCGGAUGCACCUCUCUUUAGAACGACGACAGCCAACACCCAAUAGAAUUCAUCACCAUAAUUGAUUGGGAUGUACACUUCAUCGACCAAAUGCCAAGGUAAACUAGCUGGAAAGCUAAAACCUUUGAUGAUGUUGAUUAAGCAUUCCUCAUUUUGGAAUUAUCCUACACACGAUCUUGAGCUGGCAGCGGUUAUUUUUGCUUUAAAGAUAUGGCGCCACUACUUAUAUGGGGUUCACGUUGAUAUAUAUACUGACCAUAAGAGCUUGCAAUAUAUUUUUAAUCAGAAGGAUCUAAAUUUAAGGCAGCGGAGAUGGCUUGAACUAUUAAAGGACUAUGAUGUUGAUAUCUUGUACCAUCCAGGGAAAGCAAAUGUGGUAGCUGAUGCGUUAAGUCGUAAGGCUAUGAUGGCGCCUAUAGAAAGGCAAGGGAUGGUUAAAGAUCUUCACCAGUUAGCUAGUUUGGGAGUUCGCCUUCUUGAAACUCCGAAUAAAGAGCUUAUCGUACAUAAUGCUGCGGAAUCUUCAUUAGUAGCUGAAGUGAAAGAGAAGCAAUAUGCAGAUCCUAUUUUAUUACAUCUUAAGGAGAACGUUCAGAGUGGUGCGACCAAGGCAUUUGAGCUUACGCGAGAAGGAGUACUUCAGUGCCAAAACCGAUUGUGUGUGCCGGAUAUAGACGGGCUAAGAAAGAAGAUUAUGACAGAGGCACAUUUUUCAAGGUAUUCCAUUCAUCCAGGAUCAACCAAAAUGUAUCAAGAUUUGAAAGAUAUGUAUUGGUGGAAUGACAUGAAGAAGAGCAUUGCAGAAUUUGUAGCUGAAUGUCCAAAUUGUCAAAGAGUUAAAGUUGAGCACCAAAAACCCGGAGGCUAUAUGCAAUGCAUAGAUCUUCCAAUUUGGAAGUGGGACAUGAUCAACAUGGAUUUUGUUACAGGUUUGCCUCGUACAGCUCGAAAAUUUGAUUCUAUAUGGGUGAUUGUGGAUAGGCUUACUAAAUCCGCACAUUUCUUACCCGUUAAGACCACUUACACAGUUGAAGAAUAUUCGAAGCUGUAUGUUAAAGAAAUAGUCCGAUUACAUGGAGUGCCAACUUCUAUUAUAUCGGAUCGGGGAACUCAAUUUACUGCAAACUUUUGGAAGUCUUUCCAACGGGGUUUGGGAACACAAGUGAAUCUGAGUACAGCUUUUCACCCUCAGACGGAUGGACAAGCAGAGCGCACCAUUCAAACACUUGAAGAUAUGCUACGAGCAUGUGUUAUAGAUUUUAAAGGCAGCUGGGAUGAUCAUUUACCUCUUAUUGAGUUUGCCUACAAUAAUAGCUAUCAUUCAAGUAUCAAAAUGGCACCAUAUGAAGCUUUAUAUGGGAGAAAGUGUAGAUCACCAAUAGGAUGGUUCGAAGCGGGUGAAACUCUUAUGUUCGGACCGGAUCUUGUGUAUCAAGCCAUAGAAAAAGUCAAGGUGAUACAACAACGGCUAAAAACAGCCCAAAGUCGUCAUAAAUCAUAUGCAGAUAUUCGGAGAAGAGGGCUGGAAUUCUCUAUUGGAGAUUGGGUAUUUUUAAAGGUAUCACCAAUGAAAGGGGUUAUGAGAUUUGGUAAAAAAGGGAAACUAAGCCCACGUUACAUAGGGCCAUAUAAGAUUACCAAGAGGGUCGGACAAGUUGCAUAUGAAUUAGAGCUACCCCAGGAACUUUCAAUGGUUCAUCCAGUGUUUCAUGUGUCAAUGCUUCGAAAAUGCAUAGGUGACCCCUCUCGUAUCACUCCUAUAGAAGAUGUACAGGUCACAGAGGAUCUUACUUAUGAAGAGGUACCGGUUGCUAUUCUAGAUCGCCAAGUUAAAAAGUUAAGGAACAAAGAAAUGGCAUCAGUAAAGGUACUUUGGAGAAAUCAACAAAGGGAAGAGAUUACAUGGGAAGCUGAGGAAGCAAUGAAAUCUAAGUACCCUCAUUUGUUCAAAGAUGAAGAGGAAGUUCAAGAAACGGAGUUAGAACAUUAACAAGUAAGUUUUUGUUUAUAUAUGCAUAGUAUUUAUGUGAUGAUGUGAAUGUUAAUGGUGGACUUGAACUUGUUUCGGCUAAAUAACUACAUUCACAUUCGAGGACGAAUGUCCUUAAGGGGGGAAGGAUGUAACACCCCGUACUUAAUUACGUGCAUUAGUCAUUGUUAUAUGUGUUGGGGUAUAUGUAUUGAUCCUAAGUUAGGUAUAUAUGAGUUUAAGUAUGAGUAUUGAUUAUUUUGAGAUGGUUUCAAGUGUAUAGUUUGAUUAUAGGUGUAUAGGAAUCGACUUUAUUUAUAUCGGAAUUUUCCCGUCGAUGGUUCCAUACGAAGGUUAUUGAAUAAGCUUUCCAACGAUAUAAAGAUUUCCAAAAACGGAUAAGUUUCGGAUAUAAGCGAGCUCGUUCGAAACUUUAAAACGGUGGCCGGGAUGUGAACAGUAAAAUGUGCAGGAAACUACUGAGGCCUGCCAGUUUUUUGGGUCAACUUUGAACGAUCAUAACUCCCUCAAUAUAAUGAACUGGUUGAGCUACCAUAUAUCAAAAGAAAGAUCUUUGAGUCUUCUUUCCAAUGAAAUUGGUUUCAUCCAAAUCCAACAUCUGAGUAAGGAGUUAUACUCGUUUUACUUCAGCCUCUCAAAACAGAUUUUUAGGGUCAACUUCAAACGAUCAUAACUACUUGUACAGGACGAACUGGGUGGAUUAAUUUAUAUUAAAUGAAAGACCUUUGAAUUAUCUUUCUAACGAUACCAAUUUCACCCAAAUCCGAUAUCGGAGCAAAGAGUUAUGGCCGAUUUACUUUAGCCUAUCAAAACAGUCCACCAUGGACAGAUUCGGAUUUACUUAAAUUUUUAAGGGCAAUAUGGUCAUUUUCCAUCACCUCAUGGACGAAAAUUGGUCAUUAUAUACAUAUACUUAGCCUUAUAUCCACCAUUUAUCAUCCAAAUCAUUGAAGAAUAAGAAACCCUAGCCUAAGUUCAACUCCAAUUAUCUUGUGAUUCAACCGUAGAAAAUCCAAAUUGAUUCCGUAGUUGUGUUCACCGUCUCAAGGGCUUCGAGAAGCACCCCUUAUUUGUGCCAACAGGACUUCGAAAUCAAAAGGGCCAUUUUUUUGGUAAGGAUGUAAAUUAUGUUGGUGUUAUUUAUAUGGAUAUGUAUAUAUAUAUAUGCAUGUGAGCAUAAGAAGUAUGUUAUUUGAUUGUUGUUGAAAGAUGAUUGGAAAUGAUGUUGGAUUAUUCUUGUGCAUGGUUGGAUUAUGUUAAAUUGUGAAGGAAUUUGGGGUGAUGAUGUGGUAUUGAUGAUGUGGUAUUGAAAUGAUGAUUAUAUAUAUAUACACACAUAAACCUAUUGUUCAAGUUGGUUUUUGGAAUGUUUUGCAAAUAUUGGUAGUAUGGAAUUAUGGAAGAGAAUUGUGGUGUUGGGUUGCUAAUACUAGAUGCCAAACAUUUCAUUGUAGAUAAGUGAUUUGUAAAGGCGGGAAGUUGUGUUGAAUUGGUAUCCGAAUCUACAACGAGGUAUGUAAAGCAUACUCUAACAAUGUUCUUUGGCAUGAAAACACCAAUGUUCCAUCAAGUAAGAUUCCGAGGUUGUCCAAAAACAUGUAUUGUUCUACGUUACCAACGAAGUUGUUUCCAUUCUAUAAAGUGUCAAAAUGUUUCAUUGAUAUACCAAAAGGCUCUUAUUUCAUUGUUGUGAUAUUGAUGAUUCUGAAACACAUUGUUGAUGUACCAAUGAGUCUUUAUUACAUCGUUAUUGUAUAGAAGGUCUAUUACUUGGUUCCUAUUGAUGUAUCAUUGUUUCAAAGUAUCAAAAAUGUGGUGGCGACCGAAAUAACAAUCUCAAAGAUUAAUUGAACUAAGUGAUGGAAGUUCUCUCUUAUCGGGUGGUAUCCCAGGGGCAUAAGCCUAGCAUGGGUCGAUCCCUAUUUAUGUGUUUAUGGGUGGUAUCCCAGGGGCAUAAGCCUAGCAUGGGUCGAUCCCAGUUGAUAUGUACUGGAGGCAUCCUAAUGGUCACAGUACAGUACAGUAAUGAUUACAAAGACGAUAAGAACGAAGGUAAAGUGAUUGAAUAAAUACAAUGUACAGGUUGUCACAAGUUCUAGUAAGUGUGGUCCACUCCUAUUACGACUUAUUCACUUGUUUCUGAUUUCUAUUGAGCUCCUAUAUCAUAUGUGAUUAUUUACAGCUUUACAUACUCAGUACAUAUUUCGUACUGACGUCCCUCACGGGGGACCUGCAUUUCAUGCUGCAGGCACAGGUACCUCAGCUCAUACACCGCACAAGUAGGAGCCAGGUCAUACAGCUAUUGUUGGUGAGCUCCAGUUUGCUUCGGAGCUUUCCGAGUCGGUUCCUUAUGUUUUGUUAUUGUACAUGAGUCAUGUGUGGGCGGGGGUUUGUCCCGACCCUAGUUAUGUCAUGUAUAUCCUAGAGGCUUUGUAGACAUAAGGAAGGGUAAAGUCAUGGAAGUUUAUAUAGUGAUGUUAUAUCUGUAUAUGUGGUGGCCCCGACGGCCAAGUAUUAUAUAUAUAUAUAUUUGCGCGUGUUGUGCUGAUACAGGUAAUUAGAUCCUUCUAUAUGCAACGAAGUGCUGUCCAAUUUUUGGUGACAUAUAAGUGAAAGUACAGGUAUUUGAACGGGUUCUCCCGGGCCUUCUCGGCUUCGGGUGCCAGUCCGGC